UACGGGGGGGGCAAGCGUUGUUCGGAAUUACUGGGCGUAAAGGGCUCGUAGGCGGCCAACUAAGUCAGACGUGAAAUCCCUCGGCUUAACCGGGGAACUGCAUCUGAUACUGGAUGGCUUGAGUUCGGGAGAGGGAUGCGGAAUUCCAGGUGUAGCGGUGAAAUGCGUAGAUAUGUGGAGGAACACCGAUGGCGAAGGCAGCCCCCUGGGCUAACACUGACGCUCAUGCACGAAAGCGUGGGGAGCAAACAGG
rnacentral:rRNA from 1 species